GAUGAAGAACGUAGCGAAAUGCGAUAAGUAAUGUGAAUUGCAGAAUUCAGAGAAUCAUCGAAUCUUUGAACGCACCUUGCACCCUUUGGCAUUCCGAAGGGUAUGCUCGUUUGAGUGUCAUUGUACUCUCACUCUCCCGAUGCUUUUGGAUCGGGAGUGGUGGACUUGGGUGUUGCUGCUUUGCUGUGGCUCGCCUCAAAUGGAGUAGUGCAACUCUUGGUUGGACAUAGUACGGCGUGAUAAGUGUCUUCGCCGGCGCCUCAUUAUAGAGGGUGGCCGAUCGGGAGCUCUGUGCUUCAAACCGUCUUCGGACAACAUCUGACAACUUGACCUCAAAUCGAGUAGGACUACCCGCUGAACUUAAGCAUAUCAAUAAGCGGAGGA
rnacentral:misc_RNA from 1 species